AUCAGUUGCUGGUGGGGAGUAGAGGAGCAACAAAGGUGAUGUUGCUGGAGUUCAAGGGGCAGCCAGAAGGUGGGUCUGGUGAGAUUGGCAACCUGCAAGGAAGAGCUUCAGACCUGAGGUCCAGUCAACCAUGCCCACAGCUCAGCAUUUACAGUCUUUCAAACCAGAGACCGCAGCCUCAGCUAGAAACCAGGCAGACCUUCCUCAUCCCGUGUUUGCUGUUAACAGAAGCACUCAUGUAAAAGCAGAGUGUGACUAGGCUGGAGGGUUGAGUCACUGAAGACCGACCUGAUCAGCGCAGUGGCCAACUGGGACAACAUGAGCAGAGGAAACCGAGGAAAAAACUGCAGGCAUGCACACGCUCGACCAGGAGGUGCUCGUGAGAGAUCCAGCUGGCAUCUUCUGGGAGAUGUGUAUUUGAGCUCCUGUGAUGGCCCGACUGACACAAGUCCCACAUUUAUGCUCCAUUACUCAUCCUACAUUGUAAAGAAGAAAGUUGUUUCACUCUAUGCUUUUCUCUGGGCAGUUGUAAUUCUUCAGCUCAGUAGCUUUAAAUUUAUUCAGCCUAGCUGGAUGCUAUCAGUUUA